rnacentral:rRNA from 1 species
GGGAGUGGCAAGCGUUAUCCGGAAUUAUUGGGCGUAAAGCGUCCGCAGGCGGCCUUUCAAGUCUGCUGUUAAAGCGUGGAGCUUAACUCCAUCAUGGCAGUGGAAACUGAUUGGCUUGAGUAUGGUAGGGGUAGAGGGAAUUCCCGGUGUAGCMGUGAAAUGCGUAGAUAUCGGGAAGAACCACCAGUGGCGAAGGCGCUCUACUGGGCCAUUACUGACGCUCAUGGACGAAAGCCAGGG